rnacentral:lncRNA from 1 species
ACAGUGCUCUGUGCCAUCCAGGGACCAGCCGUGUGCUCUCGAGUUACUGGAGCAGCGCAAGCAGCUCCAGUGGUCUCAGCUGUGGAGACAGCUGUUUGCCCACCGUCUGCGAUAGCAGAAAUGUGUGGUCCCAAUUUGGGCCCCGAGUCUGCUGGAGAAAAGAGAAAGGCUGAGAAGCAGCCUACUUUACCUGUGGCUCUGGGUCUGAGGACGGCCAGGAGAACAGAGAGCAAAGCAGAGCCAAUGCAAGACCUCUGGCCCUGGAAGCUGAAGGGUCUCUCACAGGUCAAUGCUGGAUCUACUCCAUCAUCAUCUUCACUAGCACAUCCAGUUCGAUUGAGGAACCUUGACGUGGGAUAUUGAUGGGAUAUUGAGAGAAAAGAGAAAUGGUGAAUCAAGCACUAAUCUCAAAGCUUCUGCACAGAACUACUUACAUGCCACUUCCUCCCAUGACUAUUGCUAAAUUCAGCCGAAAGGGGACACAUAAUCUCUUAGGGGGGAGGGCACCACGGGGAGAGAAACCCAAAUAUUUGGUGAAUAGUAACACAAUCUACUUUGUUAUAGAAUCUGUCCUCAAUGGUCUUACACUCUAAGAGCAUUACAUUUAGUUAUAGUAGUCUUAAAUAUGAUACUAAAUGAAUUGAAUAGCCAGACAUCUGUGAAAGUAAAACUGUGAUAAUACAAAGUCUGUGCUUUUAAGUUUCAAUUGCUUAAGGCUAUUUGGAAGUAAGAAUCACAUGAGUUCAGAGCCCCAGGAUUCAAAAAUAACUCCAGAAUCUUUUAUCACUCCCCAAAGGAAAAGCAAUAAUAAGUAAGUUACCAGACAUUCAUGUAAUCCCUCUGAAACUGUAAGACUAACAAAGGAAAAUUUUCAAAAGGCAAAAAUACUUUAUUAUUUAUUUGCGAUAGAAAUUAUUCAGCCAGGCGCGGUGGCUCACGCCUGUAAUCCCAGCACUUUGGGAGGCCGAGGCGGGUGGAUCACCUGAAGUUGGGAGUUUGAGACCAGCCUGAACAACAUAGAGAAACCCUGUCUCUACUAAAAAUACAAAAUUAACUGGGAGUGGUGGCACAUGCCUGCAAGCCCAGCUACUCAGGAUAUAAGGCAGGAGAAUUAUUUGAACCCGAGAGGUGGAGGUUGCAGUGAGCCAAGAUUGCACCAUUGCACUCCAGCCUGGGCGACAGAGCAAGACUCCAUCUCAAAAAAAAAAAAAAAAAAAGAAAGAAAGAAGAAAGAAAGAAAGGAAAAAAGAAAAGAAAAGAAACAAAGAAAUUUUUCAGUAAAUACAUACAACAGCAUUGAUGGCCUGGAGACAUACCACCUUCAGUUGUGGUCCUGGCAGAUGUGAUAGAUUCUACAAGGUUGGACAGGUUAAAUUCUUGCAAGGAAGUCCUUUCUGGAACACCCAAGAGUUACAGAAAGUUUAGCUAUCUUUCAGAUGAGAUUUCAUUCUCAGUUUUACUUGUUCCAUGACCCUUCCAAACUACACACAGGAUUCUUUUCAUUCAGUUGCCUUGGCCAACAUUUUAUCUCCAAUAAUCCUAUUUUAUGGAACUGAGUUUGCCUUGCCCUUUACUGCAUUUAGGUAAAUAGAAUGGUCUUUUUUAGACUUCUGAAACUAUUUGUAGACCUUUGCCUUCACAAGUUUGAAAUAAGUGUGAGGCAUUAAUUUUAUUCAGACAACACUGAGCCCAAUUCACUUGCGAAAAUGCAUCUCGAUGUGUAAUUCAUCAUCCAGAGCCUGUCCACUAUUCUGUUCCUCCCUGAGAGUAAAUUAGGCACUUUGAAAGGUGCAUUAAACUCUUCCUGGCUACUAGGUACCAUUUAGAACUGUGGGGCAAUAAUUUACUUAAUGGUACCUUGGUGACCUCAAAAAGUUUAUAUUGUUUUGAAAGUUCUUAAUUUUCUCCCACUAAAUAAUUUAUGCAUUCAGAGGUUGGGUGUGCUUAUAAAUAUGUUUCCAGAGAGACAACAGCUAUUGAAUAGAAUAAAUAAGAUAAAAUCGUCAUGCUAGUGUAGAAAUUAAAUGUUCACAAAUGUGUUAUCUAGCCUAUCCAUAGAAUAAAAGUAUAGCUUAUAAAACAAUUAUUGCUUUGGAUUUCAUUUUUUAAAUUUAUAAGACUGUGUUACAUUUUAUUGUAAUUAGUAAUGCUUCAUAGCCAUAAAGAUUUCCAGAUCCAUAUCACUGCAUUUUUCCAUAGCACAAAACACAUUUAUCCAAAGUUAAAAUACUAUGCUAAACAUACUGAAGGUUCUGACAGACAUUUAUAUUUCCCUUCAUUCUUUCAUUCACAGCAGAGUUUCAUCCAUAUUAAAUAAAUUGGUUAAGUUUUGAUACCUCGUACUUUAAUCACUCAUCUUAUAUACUAAAAUGAAUCAAAUUAAGCUCGAGCCAACAAAUAAAAGUGAUAUGCUUUGA